rnacentral:lncRNA from 1 species
UAAAAAAUUAUUAUUUUUGCCACGUGACACACAGGUGGCAGCCAUAUCAGCGCUUAACGGAUCAAUGGAUGAAAAAUGUAACGGAGGUAUUAUUUUGAAAUAAAAUAGUACGUGAGGUAUGAAAGUAAAAUGUUUUUAAAAUGUUAUAUGAGGUUGUAAUAUACCUCAAAUCUGAUGGGCUAUUAUAUAAUUUACCCAUAAAGAAAUUUGCUUCAAUUCGAUUGAUACAAGAUUCAUGGUAUGACCCACAUCUGUCAACCUUAGGCACUUGUCGGAUCUACUAAAAAAUGGAAAAGCUAAUUUUCUUCCUAAUUAACUAGGAUAUGGUUUCUUAAUGCAGCAGACAUAUUGUAUGUAAUGUUAUUAAUUCAUGUAAUAUAAAAUUAGUGCAUAACGAGUUUAAACUUAAAGAGUUAGUAUUAAGUAAGUUAAAAGUCGGUUCCCUCCAAUGUAUUAAAAAACAAAAACAAAAAUUCAUGAAGUUAUAACGUAAUUGUUGAUUUUGGCUUGUUUUGCUAGCUACUAUUUCACCAUGCAUACUCAAACAUUAAAUUUUAGGGAGCUUUAAUGAAAAUGGCUUCUCCAAACUUUUUAUUAAUAAAAAAAAAUUCUAAUAACUUUAUUUAAUGAAAAUGACACAAAGCUCUAAUGAAAAGGGAUUUUCCAAAGUUUUUCUUAAUCAAAAGCACCAUAAUAACUUUAUUUAAUGAAGAGGACACAAAAUUUAAUGAAAAGGGCUUCUCCAAACUACUGCAACAAUUUCUAGAAUUGAGUAAUGCCACUAGUUCUAGAGCUGAACAUUGACACUACAACUAUUUCUAGAGUUGAACACUGCAAUUGUUUCAAGAAUUGAACACUACAACUGUUUCUAGAAUUGAACACUGCAACUGUUUCUAUAAUUAAAUACUGCAACUAUUUUCAAAACUAAACACUCCAACUAUUUCUAAAACUAAGCACUACAACUAAUUCUAGAACUGAACACUGGCACUAUUUUUAGACCUGAACAUUGCAACUAUUUUUAGAACGAAACACUACAACUAUUUCUAGAAUUGAAGACUGCCACUAUUUCUAGAAUUGAAUAUUGACCUGUUUUUAGAAAUGAACACUGCAACUAUUUGUAGAAUUGAACACUGCCACUAUUUAUAGAACUACACACUGCCAUUAUUUCUAAAUCCAAAUAUGAAAGUAUCAAUUUUGAGUAAGCAAUUACAUGGAAAAGAAGACCAUAAGGAAAGGAUUAAACUUCUCUCUCGGGCUGAAAACCAAUUAUGUCAAGUUUGGUUAAAAAUUGGCAAAAAUGUUCGGAAAAACGUCACAUUUGGAGAGCUUGAUCUCCCUAAACAUUGAGUUUCAACGUAUGCGUCUUGUAUUUGAAGAAAGAGGGUGUCAAUACAAACUCGUAGCCUUUAACCUUGCGUGAUUUUUAUUACUGUGUGAGAGACUUUUGAACAAUCUAAUAUUGGAAAGGAGAAAAAAGGAUUUGUCCUAAAUAUUAAAUAAAAUUAUGAAGGUGCAUUGGUUAAGAUUCAAAGUUUUAGAUCUUAGUUUUUCUUAAAUUUUAUGCUAGAAAAUGUCAAUGGUCAUGAAUUGUAAACAAAGAAAACUCAAAGUAGCCAUGUUAUACAUGAUCUGACCCUCCAACAAGCGGUCCCCCAAAACUUGCAUGAUUUUUCUUGAUACCUUUAUUUCUGUGUAAAUAUGGAAUCCAAGCAAAAAGCAUCAUAACAUGGAGAUCAUUGUGGUCUCCAAAACCCUCCCCUCCCCCCUAGUUGACAAAUAAAGCUAGUUAUACAUUUGCUUGUCCUUUUGCGUGAUCAUGAAGACGUUUCCUAUCUCUUUGAUAUUUUUACCCCUUUGCUUUUUUUCUUCUUAAUUCGGGCAAUAAAUUUCUAGUGUUGUUACACUUAGAGGUGGAUUGUUUGCCCUCCUAUUUCCAUACUCUUCCUAUCCCCUUCUGUUUGUGUGGUCACGGUUAAGCCACAUCAAUAUUUUAUAUUGAUUUUUUUAUAAAAAUAAUAAAACAAAAAGUAAUAGGAAUAUAAAAUGUUGAUAUGACUUAACCGUGACCACACAAAACAGGAGGGGAUAAGAAGAGUAUGUAAAUGGGAGGACAGACAAUCUUACUUGCCUGUUGUAUUGUUUUGCUCAUUUUAUAUGUAUUUUUAUUAAAUAUUUUGACUAAUUAAUGAGUGAGAAAAUAUGACAAAUAAAUAGAUGUAAUAACAGUUAUGACUCUUGAAAAAAUAAAAAAAGUCGGUGUGCGUGGUAGCACUCUUAAUUGUUUUCAUGAAAGCAUGUCAAAAGAGAUGACUCUCGUAGCCCCCACAAGCCUCAAAAGUAUGAGUUUGCUUAACAAGUAAAAGAGAGAAAAACAAGAAGGGGAUUGUUUUUUCCUUCUUAUGAUGCUUAAUUGGAAGAACUCAGUUACCAAUUACUGGAGUGUUCUAUGAUAAUUAAUUAAAAGCAAAAGUUAAAAGCAAAAAUUAACUAGCCAGCUUGACUGGACUAAAGUGUGAUUAUAUAGGUAGAAAUCCACAAUCAUGGCUUUUGAAAGCCCGCAAUUAUCUGUCAAACUUUGACAAAUCUCAAAUUCCUUAAUUAAUCAAUCUAAAAUUGAACAUAUGCUAGAAGCACAUUGGCUAUGAUUCUAAGAUUAAAACACUAGUAUGUGGUUCAACAUUUGAACAAAUAUGGUGUUAAAUUUUCACCCAUGUGUCCUGGGUUCGAAACUUGUCUCGUUUCUUAAAUUAUUGUAAUAAUUUCAAACCUUCGACUCUCUUCUUAAUAAUAGGAAGAAAAAAAAAACAGAUCGAAACACUAAUUGGACUUCCUAGGCAGGCCUGCAGGCUUAGUUAGGAUUUUGUUCAUAUAUUAAUUAACCAUCAAAUCUCAUCCCAUAUUGCUUGCAAAUACUAGACACGUAUAUGAUUAGCCCUCAAUAAACCUGUCUUUGUCUUCCUUAAUUUACAAACCCUUCAGCAUUGUGCUAAUUGGAUUGGAAUAUCAUGUACAGAAAACGAUCGAGCUAGGAUUUAAUUCAAAUCUUUGAGUGCAUGAAUACUGAAAUCAAAUUUGCUCACGCAACUGUAGGUAGUUCAUUGUAUGUAUACCAUCAGUUGAGGAUGACCGUUUUUAAUUAAAAAAAUCGGGUGUGCAACGAUAUUAUUAUGAUAUUGUUUUAAAUGCAUUAAUAACAUGUUGUUACAUUUUUAUUGAUGUUAUAGAAAAUAACAUGUAUAAACCGCAUAUAUUAUUUCACACAAAAAUUUGUGCAAGUUAACCAUUGCUAGUAUAUCACUGUAUUAUUACCAAGUCUUCGCACAUAUAUUGUAUAUCAGUUGUACGGAAGAAAAAAAAGUAUACGUAAUAUAGUCCUAACAACUUGAUUUUAUUUCAUAUUCUAACACAUCAAAAUAAAGUUUUCUUGUACAACAAGCAUUAAUACGAACUGGGCAUUUGGGUGACAUGAAAUUGGGAGGUUCUGCCGAAUCUACAGGACUCGUUUAAUUAGCCAAACUCAGAAGCUAUGUAUGUUUACAAGUUUCAUGAGGUGUAGCCAUAGCCAUGACCAAGGUUCUAAAAGUCACUAGGCGUUAGUCGGGCGGCGGGUUGGGGCCUAACUCCUAGGCGGCUAGGCGGACUAGGCGGAUUUAAGUAAAUCUAUCAUAUUUCAUGUAAAUAAGUGUAUGCUUCUACUUGAAAUAUAUAUAAUUUCAUCAUAAACUACAAAAUAGAAUGCAUAUAUAUCAUGAAGUAUUGGAACAUAAUGAAAACAUGUGAAAUAAGGAUAUAAUGUUUGUUCAUUCAAGUAUGCAACAAGUCUCUUACAAUUUAUUGAAAAAAAAACAAAAUGCAAAAUGAAAGUUAUGUAUUUUCUGUCUAAGUGAGUUGCAAACUAGGUAGGUCUAGGUGG